CUCACACAAUGGGAUAAAGAGCAUAGCUGGCGAUCCCGCAAGUGUUUUUGCCAUUGCGGAUCAUUCGCAUGUAGCCUCCUUCACCCCAUCCUGUUCCCCAACUGAGAAAAGAAAGGUUGGAAACUGAAUCUAAGGAAGUGAAAAUCUUACCUGAGCUGUAGAAGAGGAAGCUUGGAUGAUCAGCAUCUAUGGCAACAGUGAUUGGACCGAUGGUUGCCACGGCGUCAGCCAGUGCCUGUUCAUCUCUGGCCGGGAUGAAUCUGUAAUCACUGAUCCUGGCGACAACUGAACUUCUGUCAUAGAAACAGGGCUGACUAUCCUGUUGAAACCAGAUCCAAAAAACACAUUCAGAUUGGCCGAAUCACACAAAAACAUCUCAAAACGGACUCAAAUGACCAAGAGCACUCACCGCUGAAGUAUAGGGGAUAUUUGAUGAAGCCUUUUCCACAACGCCCAAUUUGAGGGGGCUUCCUCUUCUGAAUCUGCUGCCACCUGCAGAGGUGCCCACAUCAGGAGAGCAAACAGCGCCACCCACUGUGCUUGAUACGUAUCUAUACAAAACACACAUUACAUUAGCUUUAUCACUUUGGAUGAUCUAAACGCUUUUUUUGAGUUCUUUAUUUAGGUUGACAAACAAACAAAUAAGAAUAGUGAGCACAAUUUAGGUUCCUUUUCAAUUUUUAAAAAAUAUGUUUAAAACUAAAUAUUUUGCAUAAAUAUAUAACUAAAUGAACAUAAAUAAUUUGUUUAUAAUAUUUA